rnacentral:lncRNA from 7 species
AACCGAGCGAGCAGGCGAUCCAACCACAGUGAGGUGCGCGUCCGCGGCGAAGAGGCAGCGCCGGCGAGCAAUUGUUGUACCUUGCUUGGCAAUCAGGCCCCAUAACGACCUCGAGUAAUCACGCGAUGACACCGGGGAAGCCCAGACCACGGCUAGUAGGUUUCCACGGCGGUGUACAGGGAUUUCAAUGACGACGGCCGCCAACCGAGAUGAGGCACUUGCUCCUCCGUGGUUUAGGGGAUUCGGAAGGUUAGGGUUACUAGAGGAUAGGCGGCACACGUCACCUAUAUCUAUAUGGCCAGCGGAGGUGGACCCGCCAGUAACAACGUCGACGGAAAAAGGGGGGAAGAGCUCGCCGUGGAUCUCGCGUUGUCUGUUG